rnacentral:lncRNA from 1 species
GACUUUCUUUCUGUUGUGGCCUGCUCCUCUAGCACUUACUCAUACAGCCCAGCUUGGCACAUGUCCUGCACAAGGUCGAGGGGCUCCUGGGGACCCAGCUGCCUUGGCCUUAUAGCCCCAAGCCACAUGUUGGCCCGGCGCAAGUUUUCUGAAGGCAAUGGAUAGAUCUCUGUUGACUGCAGUUACCUUUGGAUCAGGCCCUUUCAUUCCCAUUAUGAGGAGAGGAGAAAUAAACACCCGAGACUCUAAAAACCACACCAGGUAAGAAGGGAAGAAGGUUUUCUGGGGAAAGGGC